ensembl:lncRNA
CAUAAGGUGAGAAUGCUUUCAAAAAAAAUGACAUUAAUAGUUUUAUUAUCAAUUACCUUCUACUAACUAAUUCAAAUCAAUAUUUCAUAUGAUUUUUAAUGGCUGACACAUCAUUUGCACUAGAUCUUCUCAAAAGCUUAUUGCUUAAAUAAACUAACAUUAGCUCAUUCACAUUCUCUGAUUGGGCCUGUCCAAAUACCCACAUUUACUGUAUGAUCCACUUUUUAAUGAAGCAACAAGAAUACUUUUUGUGGGCAUAGAAUACACCAAUAACAAAAAUUACAUAUUCCGCCAUUAUCAAAGAGUACCACAACACAUGCAUGUGAAAUUCCGGUUGUGGCAAGAAGGGACACAGGUGAAACCGGAAGCUAACAAUAAAUUACAUUUUCUAUCUAUUAGGUUGUGUUUUAUUAACGUGUACACCUAACCCAAACCUAAACCUACCACUUACAGUGAUGCAAAAACAGUAAUUUUUGUACAGUGUGACAAAAAAUUAUACUAUAUUGAGGUGUACAUGUCCAGACAAGGCACUGCGCAUGUUUUUUCUAUGUCAGCAGCACCAUGGGCGUACAUUAGGUGCAUUCCAAACAGGAUAUAUAGUCCUACGAAAGGUGCUUCAGAGUGAAAACAAUCAUGGCCGCCAUAUUAAAGGGUCGAUUCAAACUAAAGUGCUCAAAAUUGGCCAACUCAAAGGGCCCUUCGGAAUGAAGGAUUUCGAAGGGAACAACUGUUGGACACUUUGGCUCCCAUGAUUCUCUGCAAUGAUUCUUUCCAUGAUGACAGCGUCUCCAUAUGGGCACGGGAUGAUGAUGCAAAUGGGCAAUUCAAGAAACAGUUGUUGGGUCCCCUACACCCUUCAACCCUUCGAAGCUCUCAUUCCGGAGGGUAAACCCUUUGAAGGGAUUAGGGCAUAGGGAUGAGCCCUUCCAAAUGGAAUGCAGGGAAUGCAAAGAACAUAACUUUCUCACAUAACGCACUGAAGCAGCUCCUGCAUAGAUUGAAUAAUCCAUUCUCGAUCCAUCGAUAUCAACCAAUUCAGCACCACCCUCAUGGAGAGCACCUGGUAACAUCGCACAUAAGAAGGUAUACCUGUAAGCAACCCCAUAAGGUAUAGUUCGGGGAACACACCUAGAAAUGGUAUACCUUUAGUUAAGAUAUACCUUUACAGUCUUCAUAGUGCACUAAGAGGCAACAUUAUCGAGAAACGCAUGCCAGUGAUAUAAUGUAUUGUCACAGACUUUGUUUUCAAUUUUCUCCAAAAACUCUAAAGUAAAACCUAGUGAAAGUUGAAACGGACAGAGUCAUGGUCAUCUGGAAGAACAAUGUAUUGAAAAUUUCAUGUUAAAUGAAUUAAAAA